rfam:Myotis brandtii contig290174, whole genome shotgun sequence.
GCCGGGGUGGCUCAGUGGUUGAGCGUCUACCUAUGAAGCAGGAGGUCACGGGUUCGAUUCCCGGUCAGGGCA